AACGAACGCUGGCGGCAUGCCUAACACAUGCAAGUCGAACGAGACCUUCGGGUCUAGUGGCGCACGGGUGCGUAACGCGUGGGAACCUGCCCUUAGGUUCGGAAUAACUCCCCGAAAGGGGUUCUAAUACCGGAUAAUGUCUUCGGACCAAAGAUUUAUCGCCUUUGGAUUGGCCCGCGUUGGAUUAGCUAGUUGGUAGGGUAAAAGCCUACCAAGGCGACGAUCCAUAGCUGGUCUGAGAGGAUGAUCAGCCACACUGGGACUGAGACACGGCCCAGACUCCUACGGGAGGCAGCAGUGGGGAAUAGUGGACAAUGGGAGAAAGCCUGAACCAGCAAUGCCGCGUGAGUGAUGAAGGCCUUAGGGUUGUAAAGCUCUUUUACCAGGGAUGAUAAUGACAGUACCGGGAGAAUAAGCACCGGCUAACUCCGUG
rnacentral:rRNA from 1 species